CUAUUCCCCAUCGCUCAUUCUGUUUCUCUCACCAGAGAAAUUUCUGCCCCAAACGCUCAUUCUCUCUGCUUCGUUGCUUUCACCGGAGCUUCUCCCUACCCAACCUAGCCCCGCCGCUGACCUGCUACUUCGAUCCAGGGGUGACGGUGGCGCCGCCGCACGGCUGUUUCUCCCGCUGCUGGUGGUCGCCGAUGCCGGUCAGGUGCCGCGCGGAGAGAGCGGAGACGCGGUGCGCGUGCGGUGGAGAAGGCGCCACCGCAUGUCGCCGGAAAUCACGAGCUGUGGGAGCGCCGAGAUCCCCUGCCCAUGGGUGGAUUCGGCGACCCGCGGGUGGUGGUGUUGCGACCAGCGCGUGACGGUGCUGGGACCAGCGUCCGCCGGUGCUGGAACCAUUGACGUCAGAAGCUACAUCCGGUGACUCCGCGAGCUGCAACGGCGGUGGCCGGAAGCUGCGAUGAUGGUGCCCCAGUGCUACAUCCGUCGACGGCAGAAGCUACAUCCGGCUCCUGCAAAAGCUAUGAGUGGCCCUUGCAAAAGCUGCCACCGGCAAGUCUGACGGGCUACGACCGGCGGCUUGGAAAGCUUCAACCUCUGCAUGCGGAAGCUACAACCGGCGCCCGUAGAAGCUGCAACCGGCGAGGUGCCGACUGCGAUGGCGGCUUAGAAAGCUACAACCGGCGGUGGGAAAGCUGCAUCCGGCGCCUUCAAAAGCUGUACCCGGCGGCGCGGAAUGCUGGAACCGGCGGCACGGCGUGCUACAACCGGCAAGGCAGCGUGCUACGACGGCAACGCUUUUUUGCUGGAUCCCUUUGCCGAUGACGGCGACGCCGGAGGCGGUGACCAUGGGAUGUUGCAACCACGGUCAUCCCGUGCUGGCACCGGCUAUUGGAGAGCUGCAGUCGAAGUUGGGAACCCACCGGCGCUGGUGCUGCAAUCUUGCGGCUGAAGAUGGUGAGUGCUGGGAACAGGAGCGCGCGGCGGCACGAGCGCCGGCGAAGUCGAGUGGCGUGGGUGGCCGGAAUACAUGGGAUGCAGAGGAGGAGUCCAGCUAGUCGGCGAGACAGAUCCAGCGUGUUUGACUUUUAUUCAGGGCGUUUAGCGAUUCAUCUGAACGGUUUAAAUGCGCUGUAUCCUACGGUCGCGGGGCGACCGGCCCAAAUUUGGGCCGGCGCACCGGCGCCUAUAAGUGCCCUUCAAAGAAGCUAUAUACAUGCCAUCUCGCCAAGCACUGUUAACAUGUUUUUUUAGGAGCAUUUUUUCCCCACCAUGUCUUCAUCGGGGCUGUCACCGGCACACUCCUCACUUCCUAAACACAUAUUCUUCGUGCAUGUACUUGCAGUGCAUGAUUCUCCUAUUCGAAUAACAACAGUACAUAGAGCCAUUCACUGGAAA